UACGUAGGGUGCGAGCGUUAAUCGGAAUUACUGGGCGUAAAGGGUGCGUAGGUGGUUUUUUAAGUCCGUUGUGAAAUCCCUGGGCUCAACCUGGGAAUGGCAGUGGAUACUGGAAAGCUAGAGUGCGGUAGAGGGUAGUGGAAUUCCCGGUGUAGCAGUGAAAUGCGUAGAGAUCGGGAGGAACACCAGUGGCGAAGGCGGCUACCUGGACCAGCACUGACACUGAGGCACGAAAGCGUGGGGAGCAAACAG
rnacentral:rRNA from 1 species